AUGGCCAUGGUGCUUUGGGUCUAUCUGCUCUGUCUGCAGGGAUGUCUUCUCACAUAUGCUCUGGACUGCACGGACAGAAGGGUGGACUGUGCCAACACACAGGUUACAGAGGUAAAGGUUAAAGAUGAGCCCUUAUCUUCUCUGGUGAGGGCUCGAAGACAAGCUCAAAUCACUCAGCGACCUGGAUCUUACUCAGUCAAAGGAUCUCCUAACACACUCAUCCAGACCGACAGGUCGAGGCAACAUUUGAACGCUAGUAAAAAAAAGCCCCACAGAUCUCGUAUCGGCUCUUACUCACUACUUUCCCAUAACCACGGAACCAACCCACUACAGGUUUUAAGUGUUCGUAGACAGUUUGAGGGUGCAUCCCAUCCCAAAGUGGCUCCAUUAAAGGUCAGCAUAGCCACCAGAUCCAGUAUGUAUCCAGACCAGAUGGUGGAUCAGCACCUAAAGAGGACCUCUACAACCCCGAAAGUCAGCGGAGACCAGGACAACUAGAUGAGCCCCAGAUACCCUGUAAAGACCUGAUGAACUGCCUUUAACUGAAAAAUAAAUGUUUACUACUGUCAUUUUGCA
ensembl:lncRNA